rnacentral:misc_RNA from 1 species
UCUCCGUUGGCGAACCAGCGGAGGGAUCAUUACAGGACUCGCAAGACUCCUUCACCCUGUGAACCUCACUACAAGCACGUUGCUUCGGCGGGUGUCCCGGCGGGGGUUUUCCCUCGCCGGGGCGCACAGCCCGCCGGCAGCCUACUAUACUCUGUCUCUUUGCGUUGGCAUCUCGAGAAAAAACAAACAAGUUAAAACUUUCAACAACGGAUCUCUUGGUUCUG